AACCGGUCUGUAGUUGGGAGUCUGAUCAGUUAUUAUCCUGGCUGUUGCUUCAAAACUACACUGAUGAGCCCCAAGAAGGGCGAAACCGGUC
rnacentral:hammerhead_ribozyme from 21 species